rnacentral:rRNA from 1 species
AGAGUUUGAUCCUGGCUCAAGAACGAACGCUGGCGGCAUGCCUAACACAUGCAAGUCGAACGAGACCUUCGGGUCUAGUGGCGCACGGGUGCGUAACGCGUGGGAACCUGCCUUUAGGUUCGGAAUAACUCAGAGAAAUUUGAGCUAAUACCGGAUAAUGUCUUCGGACCAAAGAUUUAUCGCCUUUAGAUGGGCCCGCGUAAGAUUAGCUAGUUGGUGGGGUAAAGGCCUACCAAGGCGACGAUCUUUAGCUGGUCUGAGAGGAUGAUCAGCCACACUGGGACUGAGACACGGCCCAGACUCCUACGGGAGGCAGCAGUGGGGAAUAUUGGACAAUGGGCGAAAGCCUGAUCCAGCAAUGCCGCGUGAGUGAUGAAGGCCUUAGGGUUGUAAAGCUCUUUACCCGAGAUGAUAAUGACAGUAUCGGGAGAAUAAGCUCCGGCUAACUCCGUG